rnacentral:rRNA from 1 species
UGGGGAAUCUUCCGCAAUGGACGAAAGUCUGACGGAGCAACGCCGCGUGAGUGAAGACGGCCUUCGGGUUGUAAAGCUCUGUGAUCCGGGACGAAAGAGCCUGAGGUGAAUAGCCUAAGGAAGUGACGGUACCGGAAAAGCAAGCCACGGCUAACUACGUGCCAGCAGCCGCGGUAAUACGUAGGUGGCAAGCGUUGUCCGGAAUUAUUGGGCGUAAAGCGCGCGCAGGCGGCUUCCUAAGUCCAUCUUAAAAGUGCGGGGCUUAACCCCGUGAUGGGAUGGAAACUGGGAAGCUGGAGUAUCGGAGAGGAAAGUGGAAGUCCUAGUGUAGCGGUGAAAUGCGUAGAGAUUAGGAAGAACACCGGUGGCGAAGGCGACUUUCUGGACGAAAACUGACGCUGAGGCGCGAAAGCGUGGGGAGCAAACAGG